UAUUUUUAAAUUGGCUUCUAUUUGCUUGGUUGAGUGUGUUGAAUUGGUCUUCCGUUCAGUCUGAUAUGUUGUCAGCAUAGUAAGGUGCUAGGUUGAGUCAGAUACAACUUUCAGUGUUUCAAUUCAACUUUCUAUGAAGGUAGGAUUUGCUUCUCAUUGCUGCAGAAAGUUGCCAAUUUCUAUUGGAUCAAGUUCAUAGUAAACUCUCCUUGUUGACUUCUUCUCUCUCUUUUUUUUUUUUUUUUUCCUAUCAACUUUGUGCAGCUUGUGUUAAUUUUUCAACUCUGUUCUCGUAACACACCAUUUCUCAGUAAGUGAAUUUCUUAUUUUUAAUUUUCAAUAAAUUGUACUACGUAUAAGUCUAUAAGCAGCAACAUACUAGAGCACUGUAGUAAGAAUUUGGCUGUCUUCGGAAAAAAAAGUUAUUGUGGUUUGUAAGAAUUACAGUUUGUCAAGACAACUGAGAUACAAAUGAAGUACUGAUUUAGGAUAAGGAUAAGAUUGUCCCACUUUCUUAUCAUUAUCAUUCAGGAUUCAGUGACAAGCAUUAUUUCAUACCAUUUAGUUUUAAUGACAAAACCGUUAUUAUCAUGGAUCUUUGGUUUGUUUGGUUUGCGAGAACCAUCAGUGUAAUUCUGCCCAUUUUAAAUGUUCUUCUUGGAUCUCCUUUGUGGUUUUCUCCUGCUAGAACUGUUGUUUAUCCUAUCCUUUGCAUACCUUACGCAUUCUUUGGAGCUCUGGAAAGAGCUUAUUUACUUAUAUCUGUAAAACAGCAGUAAGUUUAUUUCUGAUCAAAGCCCAGCAGUGCAUCUCAUUGAAACUAAGACCCACUUCCAUACUUGGGUACAAAUCAGGCAGUUUUAAAUUGGCAGCUGUAGUCACAAUUCCUCGGGCUGAUGCUUUUAUCUGCAUCCUGAGCAUUAAAGCUUGUGAAUAUGCUUGUCCUCUUUUAUAAAGAGACUCACUUCAUGUUGAUAACUUGGUGUUUGGUUGUAUGCAGUAAGAAGGAUUAUAACCAACCUUGGGAUCUGUAGGGGACUAUUGAAGACGAUAAAGAACUCUCCUCUUAUGAAUUUCAGUACUAAUCAGAAUGUGUGGCGGGAAGCAAAUAUUACUGCAGAUGAGUGAACUAUUUUAGUGGGAAACUUCAAGGCUGGUAUAAUCCCAGUGUUCAUUUCUGCUUUUUUUUUAUGUAUUAUUAGUAUGACUUUUCUCAUGGAUAGAACCAUUGCUAGGGUUGUAACAACCCUUAGGUAUUAAUUAAUGUUUGGACUUGAAUGUUUUUAUUAGGAAUGUUUUACUAUGCCUAUUAUGUUACAGUUUGGUGGUUCAGAAGAUAUAGUUUAUGGUUAAAUUUACUCUUAAUUGAUGAAACAAGUGGACUAUGAGGAGAAGAAAAUAUUGUUUGAUAACACUAAUAGCCGAAUAAAUUAAAGCUGUGUUAAGCAGAUCCCUAUUAGAAAAG
rnacentral:lncRNA from 1 species